rnacentral:rRNA from 1 species
AACGAACGCUGGCGGCAUGCCUAACACAUGCAAGUCGAACGAGACCUUCGGGUCUAGUGGCGCACGGGUGCGUAACGCGUGGGAAUCUGCCCUUGGGUUCGGAAUAACAGUUGGAAACGACUGCUAAUACCGGAUGAUGACGUAAGUCCAAAGAUUUAUCGCCCAAGGAUGAGCCCGCGUAGGAUUAGCUAGUUGGUGAGGUAAAGGCUCACCAAGGCUACGAUCCUUAGCUGGUCUGAGAGGAUGAUCAGCCACACUGGGACUGGGACACGGCCCAGACUCCUACGGGAGGCAGCAGUGGGGAAUAUUGGACAAUGGGCGAAAGCCUGAUCCAGCAAGGCCGCGUGAGUGAUGAAGGCCUUAGGGUUGUAAAGCUCUUUUACCCGGGAUGAUAAUGACAGUACCGGGAGAAUAAGCGCCGGCUAACUCCGUG